rnacentral:rRNA from 1 species
ACAUGUCUAUUUGAAGUUAUAAAAAGUUUAACCUGCCCACUGAUAAAUUGUAAAUUGAAUGGCCGCGGUAUCUUGACCGUGCAAAGGUAGCAUAAUCGUUAGUUUUUUAAUUGGAAUCUUGUAUGAAUGGUUGGACAAAAGAAAAUCUGUCUUUAUACUAUUUAUUGAACUUAACUUUUAAGUGAAAAGGCUUAAAUGUAUUAAAGGGACGAUAAGACCCUAGAAAGCUUGAUAUUAAAAUUUUAUUUAGUUAAAUUUUAUUUAUAAAAACUUAGUGAUUGAAUUUAUUUUAUUGGGGCGAUAAAGGUAAAAUGAUUAUUAACUGCUUAAUUUUAAGUACAUUAAUAGAUGAUUAAAUUUUUAAAUGAUCCUAGUUAAAGAUUAAAAGUUUAAGUUACUUUAGGGAUAACAGCGUUAUUUUUUUUGAGAGUACUUAUCGAAAAAAAAGUUUGCGACCUCGAUGUUGAAUUAAAAUAUCUUUAUAAUUGCAGCAGUUAUAGAAGUAGGUCUGUUCGACCUUUAAAAUUUUACGUGAUUUGAGUUCAAACCGGCGUGAGCCAGG